AGUGAACGCUGGCGGUAGGCCUAACGCAUGCAAGUCGAACGGCAGCACAGGAGAGCUUGCUCUCUGGGUGGCGAGUGGCGGACGGGUGAGGAAUACAUCGGAAUCUACUCUGUCGUGGGGGAUAACGUAGGGAAACUUACGCUAAUACCGCAUACGACCUACGGGUGAAAGCAGGGGAUCUUCGGACCUUGCGCGAUUGAAUGAGUCGAUGUCGGAUUAGCUAGUUGGCGGGGUAAAGGCCCACCAAGGCGACGAUCCGUAGCUGGUCUGAGAGGAUGAUCAGCCACACUGGAACUGAGACACGGUCCAGACUCCUACGGGAGGCAGCAGUGGGGAAUAUUGGACAAUGGGCGCAAGCCUGAUCCAGCCAUACCGCGUGGGUGAAGAAGGCCUUCGGGUUGUAAAGCCCUUUUGUUGGGAAAGAAAUCCAGCUGGCUAAUACCCGGUUGGGAUGACGGUACCCAAAGAAUAAGCACCGGCUAACUUCGUGCCAGCCGCCGCCGUAA
rnacentral:rRNA from 1 species